CCUUUAAGGAGUAGCAUUUGAUGACAUUUCCCACAUUUAUUUGCCUGGGCCAGUUUUGCAUGUCCCUCACCAAGUAACGUCCUGAUAACGUCGUACAUAAAACUGUGUUUUGCACCCUUAAGGAGUAGCAUUUGAUGACAUUUCCCACAUUUAUUUGCCUGGGCCAGUUUUGCAUGUCCCUCACCAAGUAACGUCCUGAUAACGUCGUACAUAAAACUGUGUUUUGCACCCUUAAGGAGUAGCAUUUGAUGACAUUUCCCACAUUUAUUUGCCUGGGCCAGUUUUGCAUGUCCCUCACCAAGUAACGUCCUGAUAACGUCGUACAUAAAACUGUGUUUUGCACCCUUAAGGAGUAGCAUUUGAUGACAUUUCCCACAUUUAUUUGCCUGUAAGUUCAUAGAAAAUUGCUUUAUUUCUUUUAAAUUAUGUAGUAAACCAUUACAAUAUAAUCUCAGGUUGACACUGUGUAAGGCAUAAUGCCUAUUAGAUACAUGUUCCAUAGAAUUUAUACAUAUGAUAAGGAUUCAGGGGCUAAAGUUGUUAUUUUACAUUAUGACG